AUUGAACGCUGGCGGCAGGCCUAACACAUGCAAGUCGAACGGUAACAGGAAGCAGCUUGCUGCUUUGCUGACGAGUGGCGGACGGGUGAGUAAUGUCUGGGAAACUGCCCGAUGGAGGGGGAUAACUACUGGAAACGGUAGCUAAUACCGCAUAACGUCGCAAGACCAAAGAGGGGGACCUUCGGGCCUCUUGCCAUCGGAUGUGCCCAGAUGGGAUUAGCUUGUUGGUGAGGUAACGGCUCACCAAGGCGACGAUCCCUAGCUGGUCUGAGAGGAUGACCAGCCACACUGGAACUGAGACACGGUCCAGACUCCUACGGGAGGCAGCAGUGGGGAAUAUUGCACAAUGGGCGCAAGCCUGAUGCAGCCAUGCCGCGUGUAUGAAGAAGGCCUUCGGGUUGUAAAGUACUUUCAGCGGGGAGGAAGGGGAUGUGGUUAAUAACCGCGUUCAUUGACGUUACCCGCAGAAGAAGCACCGGCUAACUCCGUGCCAGCAGCCGCGGUAACAC
rnacentral:rRNA from 1 species